rnacentral:rRNA from 1 species
ACGCUCGACACCUACGGGAGGGCAGCAGUGGGGAAUAUUGCACAAUGGGGGAAACCCUGAUGCAGCGACGCCGCGUGAGCGAAGAAGUAUUUCGGUAUGUAAAGCUCUAUCAGCAGGGAAGAAACUGACGGUACCUGACUAAGAAGCACCGGCUAAAUACGUGCCCGCAGCCGCGGUAAUCUGAGCGGGCUGGCAAGGC